CUGAGCUGCUCUGCAGUCCAGAGCAUGGGGAGUCUGGGAGGAAGUCUGGUGAUGAAGAGGGGCAGGAAAACAGAGACGUGACCAACUAGAGGAGGCUCCUCAGAGGCUGCUGGGAUGAGGAGUGACAAAAGACCUGCAGCAGUGGCAAGCUAAGUGAGAAGGGGUAAAUGUCCCAUGGAAGUCACUUGGUAUGGUAAUGGCAGAAGAUCUCUGAAUGCAACAAGGUUUAGUGCUCAUUCUUAAGAAGUUUUGUGUAUUGUCCUAGAUAUUGAACAUUGCUGCUGCUCCCAAAACAUUCCUACUAACAAACAUCUUACAUAUGGACUGUUUGAGGUAUUGAGAUCAAAGAGAAUGACUUCUGUUUUGGGGACUGUGUGAGGAGUAGAGAAGAGACCAGGUGCCUUGAGAAAUACAGAAGGGAGAUGAAAAGGAAGGAGGCCUGAGUUUCUCAAACCCUGCACAUUCCCCAGAAAUGACUAUUUUCAGGACUGACUGUUGGCUAGUUCUUGGGAAGCAAAUGCUGAGUUUUGGAAUGUUCUGCCUGGGAAGAGUGUUUUUGUACGGCUGAGGCCUUACGCUGCAUGGCACCAGUUGAACAGCUUGUUAACGCUAGCAAUGUGAUUUAUGCUGAAUGCCUAAUUCUGCUCUGGAGAACUGGAAUCUGAGUAUCUGAGUUCAGCCAUAUAAAUGCUUCAGGUCUGCAGGACUGGCUCCCAAUAAGAACCCUGGACACAAAGGCUCAGGUGAGCUUCCUAGACACCAAUACUCAGGUGAGCUGUAUGGAAACUAACGCUCAGGUGAGCUUCCUGGACUCCAAGGCCCAGGUGAGCUUCCUGGACUCCAAGGUGCAGGUGAGCUUCCUGGACUCCAAGGCCAGGUGAUGUUCUGGACACUCAGGCUCAGACCUGCAGUGACCUGCUGCUACCAGAACUGACUCGCUUCAAAGUGAUGGAUGAAACCCAUAUGGAGAUAUUCCUGGGGUGGGUAGGCCAGUUGGAAGACAGAGUGUUUACACAUGAGAGAGGACUUGAGGAAAAGCAGUUGAAAUACCAUUAGUUAACAGAUUGCCCAAUGAAGUCGAUGACAACUGUGAUAAGAAAUUACUCACUAUCACAGCGUCUCCAAGAGAUGAACAGUGGAUGAUGCUUCCAAAGCACAGAUGUCCCUCUCCUCCUCAACCUUCUCUCCCCAGAAAGAUGUCAACACUGUGGAGAUUGUGCUAUGAAGAUACCUGGUGUGGCGUUGCAAUAGAUGAAAUAUUAAGGGCAAUUCAACAAUUUUCUGAACAAAUACAUGAAUUUAACUUGAAGUUGAAUUUAAUUUGACUUCAAGAAAAAUUAUAUUUCUGGUCCUCCUAUGAUCAUGUACUAAGAAUUAUUUAACUGCAGAUACAAUUGUUAUCUUUAGAGCUAGAAGGCCUCAUUUUAGAAUUAAAAUGAAUGGCAACCCAGACAGAUAAAGUCGAGUCGUGAUCAUCCCACUGCGGAGGCAGAGCCAGUGCUGGCCAUCCCCCGACCACCCCAACACACUCCAGGUCUCACACAUUUAAUCUCUCUCUCUGCCAAGGGAAUUUUUUCUUUCCAUUUAUUCUUAGAAACAACUAAGGGAGUUUUAAGUUAAAUACAUGCUGCCAAAUUGAAUCCAAGGAAACUAAAGUCAAAUAUAUUAGCAAACACUUAAUGUCCUCUCCAUUUUGACAUUUCUCCCUCAAUUCCUAUUUCUGAGUAAAGGCUGUUCAGAUGAAUAAAAACAUAUUUUCAGAAAUCUGAGCUCAUAAGACCUAUAGGCCUGUGAAGUCACAGACCGUGCACUGUCAGCAGUCAGCAAUUCUACUGGGUUGAAUUGGCAUGUUUCAAACUAUGUAUUUUUGUUAAAAAAAAAAAAAGGGUGUGUAAAUGCAUUUACAAAAUAAUUUGUACUCUUUCCCAGUAAUUUAUAGUUGCCUUCACAGCACCCAGUUCCUGAUUUCACACCAAGCCCUUGCUGAGGAUAUGAGAGUAAUAAAAAGGGGAGCCCUGGCUCUUCCUCUCCUUUAGUGUCUUCCCUGGAAGUGGACUGCGAGAAGAGCUUCUUCAGCCACCUUCUGCCUGCAGACAACCUCCAUGAGUUUGCUUUAGAAGAAGGCUUCAAUUUGAAGAAAGUCAAAUAAAACAAGAUAGACUAUCAUUCCCAUAGAUGCAAAAGAAGGUGAACCCAGAUUCAGAUCCUAAGUCAGCCAUUCUGCAGGGAACUCUUAGGUGUCCAGGUCAGAGGCUCUAUUCAAACUGCCUCGUCAAUAUUGGUUCCUCAGUUGUUGCAAAUAUACCACACUCAUGCACGUUGUUAAUAAUAAAAGGGGAACUGUAGAGGACGGGGUGGUGUAUAUGAGAACUCUGUACUUUCUGUGUAAUUUUUCUAUAAACCUAAAAUAGCUCUAAAAAUAAAGUUUAUUCAGAAACAAAAAAAUUAAUCAUCUAUCCUGAGUAAAUAUUAUAUAAGAUUUAUCUAAGUUUUUACCUACUUCUUCAAAUGUGCUGACCUUUACUGAAAAUCUUUUAUACGUUUUGAAUAUUCUUUUCACUCCAUUGAAACGCAGUCCUCCUGGUAAUUUUGUUUUGUACUGUAUACCCAGUGUAUUCUACAUCACCAAAAGCUUUAGAGUAAGUUUCCCAGCCUACCAACCCCACUAAAUGCCCACAUGCUGAAAGCAUAGUACAAUAGUCUCUUUAACAUCACAGGUUUCAACUGCACAGGUUCUUAUAUGUGGAUUUUUUUUUCAAUCAAUACAUUGGAACAAUUUUGGAGGUUUGCAACAAUUUUUAAAAACUCACAGAUGAAUUGUGUAGCCUAGAAAUAUUUUUACAAUUACAAAAUGUUAGAUAUGUUAUGAAUGCAUAAAAUAUACACAUUAAUCUAUUGUUUAUAUUAUCAGUAAGUCUUCCAGUCAGCAGUAGGAUAUUAGUGAUUCAGGUUUUGAGGAGUAAAAAUUUAUGCAUGGAUUUUUUUUUUCUAUGCAGAGGUUGGCUCCUUUAAUCCCCUGCUGUUCCAGGGUGACUUGUACACACUUAUUUCUCUCUCUCACACACUCACAUACACACACAUCCACACACAGGCACAUCCACAUUACCAGAGGCCACAUCAAAGAAACUUAAAUGGAAAAUCUCAGCAAAUGGUAUGAGGUGGGAUUCUAGGAUUUAUUUUAAAAAUAGUAUUGAAUGUUGUGUAUGUGAUAAUUCAAAGAA